CGUCCCUAAACUUAAAAAUGUAACAUAAAACUUUAUAAACUUUGAAAUUUUGUACAGUAAAAUUCUUCUAAUUUUCAAUAGCUGAUUUAUAAGUAAUACAUUGAUGUGGACAAUCCAGAGUAGCAAUAACGUGGAUAAUUAUUGCCGUUUUUCGGAAUAAAAUCCAUCUAAUAAGUUGUUAUAUAUCUAGCACUUCAUUAUCUCAUACAAUUGAGAUUUUUCAUCAUUGAUCUGUGAAAAAAAUCUUAAUCGGUUUUGUUGUUGUCAUAUAGAGGAGAGAGAAUUGUUUACGUCACCGCUACUCUAAAUUGUAUAAAUCGACUAUUGGGAGUCAAAUGGAUUUUACUGUGCAAAAUUUUAAAAUUGAAGAUGUUUUGUGUUAUAUUUUUAAUUUUAAGAACAACUCUGUUACAACAUCUAAAGGUUAAGGACAACUAUUGAAAUCUAUCCUAAGUUAUGGAUACAUUUGUACAUUUAUUUUUGAAAAAUUAAGGAUACUAUAUGGUGGAGCUAUGCUAAUGAAUUGACCUUUUUAAAUACAUGUGCACAUUUAUUUAUCUUUUUCCCCAAUGCAUAAAUUUCAAUAACAAGAACAAGAACAACUAUGCCUUAAUCCCAAAUUAGUGGGAUCAACUCAAUGGAUUAUUUUUUGCCAUUUAGUUUUAUUUGAAACCAAUUAUGCAUUAAAAUUUAAAAAUUUUUAAUCUUUUUAUACUACUUCUUUCAACAUUAUUUUAGGUCUCCCUAUUUCUCUUCUCACCCUUUCUACCAUUAAUUUAUCCUACUUCCAUACUGGGGUAUUUAAUACUUUGUUGUACAUGACCAAAUCAUCUUAAUCGAUCAUAUGUCAUUUUAUUCUCAAUAUGUGCUAUGUGCACUCCUUAGUGAAUGUGAUCAUUUUUAAUUUAUCCAUUAUUGUAUUAUUAGAUAAAUAUCCAUUUUAACAUUUGUAUUUCUGUCAUACUCAUCUUGUGAGUAUGUUGUACCUUAGAUGCCCAAUAUUUUCUCCCAUGCAAUAUAGCUGGCUUAACUACAAUUCUAUAGAACUUACCUUUUAUUUUGUCAGAGAUCCUACAUCACAUGGCAUACCCGUUGCUCUCUUCCAUUUCAUCCAUUUUGUUUUGAUUUUAUGAGUUGCAUUCUUAUCUAUUACUUUGUUUUCAUGGAUGAUAAAACUCCAACCAAUCAAACCUCAUCUUUGAUCUUUCUAUGAAAACUAAACUCACAAUGCAUAUAUUAUGUCAUACUUUUGCAUAGCCUAAAAUCCUUACUUUUAAGAGGCCGUCACAACUCUUAACUUUUGGUUAAUUCCUUUACUAGUUUCAUCCAUUAAGAUGACAUCAUCUACAAAUAACGUGUAUCAUGGGAUAUCAUCUUGAAUAUGACUAGUUAAUUCAUCCAUAAUUAAGAUAAAUAGGUGCAAACUUAAAGUCGAUCCUUGAUAUAAACUCAUUGUUAUGGGAAGCUCGUCCUUGUCCCCUCCCUAUCUUUCUAUAAACUGGAGAAAAUCUAGGAAAUAAAUAUGUUGUUGAUUGAUGCAUGUUGAAUUGAUAGGCCAUCUAAAGUUUUAUUACCAAACUUGUACAUUCUUGAAUAUAUAAUGAGAAUUUUGUUGUCAUCGUUGACAAACAUGACUAUAGAAAGAAAUUAAAAGUCAAAGAAAGAUAGGCCAUAAGAUGCCAGACUCUCUCCGUACCUGUACCUCUACCUUUUUCCUCUGUCUGUCUGUCUCUCUCCACAAUCCUCUGAUAUUUCAAAUAUCAAACUUAACUGCGUAGAGCAUCUAUUUGGGUCUUUCCUUAUUUUUUCAAUUAUCUCCCAUUUAUGCUGUCUGAAGUUUGACAAUUGUAUUGGCAAAAAAAGUAUUGGGAUAGUUAGUUGAUGAAAAUGGAGGAUUAGUUGUAUGAUAGAUUAAAUGAGGCAAAACCAACUAAACCAUAUCCUAUACUACGUUUCUAAAGCUACAUGAAUCACAUGAUAUACGAUUAAUGAUUUGAUUUUGAAUAUCAGUUUUAUGGUUAUUUAUUUAUGAUUUCUAUUAAAUUUCUUAACAAUAUAAAUAAUGGUUAUUAUUUUUAUAUGUAAAAGCUACACAUUUUGCUAUAUAUAACUAAUAUUUGUUAGAGCAAAAAAUGGUCAAGCGUAUUAAAAUUUGUGUGUAUGAUUUUUUGAAUAUUUGUGAAUUUUUUUUUAUUACAACUUAAAGCUUGUUCAGAAAGAUAUGAUUUUGACUCUUGUUUCCUUUGCAGUUAAGUUUGUGCGUGCAUGUGUGUGUGUGUGUGUGUGUGU
rnacentral:misc_RNA from 1 species